AGUACGGAACUUUGAUAGCAGCAGCUACACAGUAGUACAGAACUUUGCAUGUGGCUGCUUCAUGGGCCACAUGCAUUUUUUUUCCUGUAAAAAGUUAUGAUAACAAAAUGUUUGAUAUGAUAACUAACAGAAACUUGGUUUUUUCUUGUUGUUUUUUGCUCCAUGUGACUCCAACUGUUAGUCUUUGUUGAUUGUGUUUAAGAUUUUAAUUUCUAGGAAAUGAUUCUGCCAUGUAUCGAAAGAAGUGCAAAUAUUCCAGCAAUAGUUAACUCUAUUAAGGAGCUACAAUUGUUCUAUUAUUAGGCUAGAGGUUUGAGAAACAAUGGCUACAAUACCAAUGGUUUUGGUUUUGCCCCACCUGCUUCUCUUCCAGCCGAGUCUUCAAGAAAGGUUUAUAAUUCAUGCUGAUUUUUGCAUAAUGAUUUUGACCGUUCUCUAUAAAUAUGGCUGAUUGUUGUUUUCUUACAAUUGGAUGAGGUUCUCUUGCCCGAUCCAUUUGAUAGGCCACAUGCUGUUUUCAUGUUAAAAAUUGGAGGAAUCAAAGGUUCACAAACAUAUACAUUCAGUGUUUACCUUAGUCACAUUGUUUUCUGCAGUUAGUGAUUUUAUAAAGUUUCUUUCACCAACAGAUCCACUGUCGUUGCUUGACCAAUCAGAUUUCUGAGUUGGCGGUGCCUUGAGUAUGAAGGUUCUUAUUGAUUCAAAUGAAAGGCUUAAUCUGAACCGCCCAAUCUGUGGACCCGACUUCAGAUAUGAUGUCCAAAUCUCAUGUAAACACUCUUGGCUUGGAAAGUAAGGUUGCUUGCUAGGGGCCAACGAACAAUCCCCACUUCAAUUGAUGAGCUUUUUUGUGUUGACUAUGUACCGUUGGAGGGCGAUGUUUGGAUGGUGGUGGACACAUUAAUUUUAUUUUAACAGUUUUACAAGGUGAAGUGAUGUGGAAGAUGGGUGUGAAUCAUUUCGUAUGUUCAUAUUCUAUUAUUCUUUAUUUGUAUUAGUUUAGAUGGGCAUACGAGUUUGUAAGCCAUGAAAUCUUUUUCCGUAUUAGCCUAAAUGAGUUGAUCAAUCAGGGCAUGUACUAGCAAU